rnacentral:rRNA from 1 species
AUACGGAGGGGGCAAGCGUUGUUCGGAAUCAUUGGGCGUAAAGGGCGCGUAGGCGGUUUCGCAUGUCCGCUGUGAAAGCACACGGCUCAACCGUGGAGAGUCGGUGGAAACUGCGAGACUUGAGGCUGGGAGGGGCUGGUGGAAUUCCCUGUGUAGCGGUGAAAUGCGUAGAUAUGGGGGAGAACACUCGUGGCGAAGGCGGCCAGCUGGACCAGUUCUGACGCUGAGGCGCGACAGCGUGGGGAGCAAACAGGAUUAGAUACCCGAGUAGUCC